AGGAUCUUCCUGAUUAAGCAUCAUUUGUGUUUUUGUUUUAUUUUAUUUCCUGAGGACAUGCACACAUUCUAAGUUGAGGGUGUAGAUAUUUCAUAGAAGCAUGGCACAUUCGAUGUUUAAAAUAGUGAAAUUAUGCAUUAACUUAGGUCAUCUCAUCGAAUAUGAUGUGUGUUUUAUGUGUUUUGCAUGGAAACUAGGUUGGAAGUGGUGUUGGACUAAAAAAGGAGAAAAGAAAGUUCUAAGAAAUUGAAGUACUAAUCAAGAUACAAGUUGUUAAUUCACAUUAUGACUCAUGGCCAG
rnacentral:lncRNA from 1 species